UACGGAGGGGGCAAGCGUUGUCCGGAAUCAUUGGGCGUAAAGAGCGCGUAGGCGGCCCUGUAAGUCCGCUGUGAAAGUCAAGGGCUCAACCCUUGGAUGCCGGUGGAUACUGCAGGGCUAGAGUCCGGAAGAGGCGAGUGGAAUUCCUGGUGUAGCGGUGAAAUGCGCAGAUAUCAGGAGGAACACCGAUGGCGAAGGCAGGUCUCUGGGCAUUAACUGACGCUGAGGAGCGAAAGCAUGGGGAGCGAACAGG
rnacentral:rRNA from 1 species